GGGGGUGUAGCAUAAAGGUAAUGCAACGAUCUUGACAGUCGGCAGAUUCGGGUUCGAUUCCCGAUACCUCCA
rnacentral:tRNA from 1 species